GAGGCUAGAUCACAGGUCACUACUCUGACUAACAGGUGGAGGCUAGAUCACAGGUCACUACUCUGACUAACAGGUGGAGGCUAGAUCACAGGUCACUACUCUGACUAACAGGCUAGAUC